UUAAAUCAUUUUCUUCGUCCGUGUGUUCUACUGUUUGACGAAUUUCUCACGUGAUGUUCUUUAAGAUGUUGAGAGAAGAGAGGAGAGAGAGAGAGAAAGAGAGAAAGAAAGUCUUCUUUGUCUAACGACUGACAUGACGUGGCAGUUUUCAGUGGCGCUUUAUCUGUUUGUCUGGCUGUAUAGUUGACAUCUUGACCCAGCCGGAAGUGACUUGCUGGUGGAUGUGAGAGACAAAGUCUCCUGUUGUCAGAUUCGCACAGAUGCCUAUGGUGGUUAAUAAUAAGUUAUGUGUCACGUUUUCAAAGAUGACUGGUGAUUACAGUCGUGUCUCCAUGUGACUUGAUGAACAUUCACUCAUCCAUCAACUCUGUUAUCUAUCACACACACACACAGAAAAAGAAGAAAGAUGUCAAAUGACAUAUCUUCAGACAUUUAUUAUCAUGUCAAAGGACAUCUCUGUGUGAUAAGCCUUCUAUUAUCAUGUCAAAGGAAUACCUCCUUAUCACGUGACUGGAAUGUUCUUUUUUUUAAACAGUUGUCUACAACACUUGGCCACCAUGGAUUUUCAGACCAUUGAGCUGUUGGCAGCAGGUGGUCUGCGAGUAACGUCCUUGUGUUCCAGGACAUGAUGGCCUACGGUAGAUGCUUACUACAUGCGUCACUAUAUACAGGUAAACAUCAUGGAGGGCUUUGUACAGUGAAAGGUCUUGGGUUCAGAUUUCAUCCCGUGACACCUCUUGGCAAGGCCGUCAGGGUUUUUCUCAGGAAAGCUACCAGAACUACUGAAGUUUUUAAAAUCGUCAGACAUUGUGAAACUUUGGUGGUUGACUGUGAAGAUUCAAAGUGCAGGCUGGUCAAUGGGAGACAACUGUGGUGGCCAGAAUGAAGAUGUUUUCAGAACUCGGGAAAAAUUUCAUUCAUGCUAGCAAAGGAAUAGUUCACUUUAAUCUGCUUCUUAAAGAAACAUGUACAGUUUCUGUGUGUGAGAUGUCUUCAUGCAGUUCACUAGCCAGUCUGAGCCUUGUUGGAGAAACUGUGAGACACAAAUUAACAAAGUCUGCAUCAUCUAAACAAAUAUAUGGUCUGUUAUUUUUUGUUUAUUCUUGGGGAAUAGUAUGUCAAUAAUAAAUUGUUUGGGACACUAGUCUCGUUACUUUUCAGACACACCUGCUAUUUCAUAUUCAUGGCCUGGCAAUGACAAGCGUGGCUACAUGCUGGGGAUUCAGAAGCACCUUUAUUAUUAGUAGUUACCACCCUUACAGCUCCUAUUCCCUGAGUAGACUCUAAUAAUCUUUGAGACAACUGAAGUGGUUGGGUAUCUAUUAUCAUAUAUUUAUCAUACUUUUUUCCUAAUCUAACAAAGAAAAUAAAGUUAAUCAUGGCCAACCUCUGGCAAAGCUUUAACCAAGCUUUACUGUUGGGGGGAAAAAAGUUUUGUAAUCAGAUUGAUUUACAUUUAAAAGCUUAUUAUGUGCUCAUCUGGACAAAAGAAAACUAAUCAUAGUUGUUUUUUCUUUGAAAUUUAGUCCACAUUUUUUUCUGUUUCAUUUUUUGAAAACUGGGCUCUUCUAUCCCCAAGUAUACUGGCAUUCUCUGUGAAUUUGUGAUUUUCCUGAACGGGCGCAGGGGAGCUCAAUGCGUCAUAUUUGCUUUCUGCUUUUCUCAGCUUAGGAGUGGUUAUUUCCCUUGAACUUUAUCAGUCUUGUGUUGAGGUUUUUAUUUUUCUCGUACGCCAGCUGUGUCGUUCUUGAAGACCAGACGCAGUCAUAAAUUAAGAUUUUUUUCUUUUAAAUGGGUCGUUGGAUGUUUCAGAAUUUGAUGGACAGGCCAGUGGGUUCAGGUCAUAUCUGGGGUUAAAAACUGGAUUGAGGUAAUCAACAGUCACUAUCAUUUACUUGUCUUAUUUAAAUCUGUUUUUCGAGACAUCAAAGCACUGAGUUGUAGACACUUAUAUCCAACUUGGCAGGUACACGAUUUCUAAAGAAAUGUGCAACCAUGUGUUCUCAUUAGUUAGCGAUCUUUAUUAGCAUUACACAUUAACUUCUUUAAAUUGUUUUCUGCAAGCAACAGUCCAGAACUGUUACACGUGUUUUAACUGGUCUAUUUUUCUUAGCUAUUUACUUUCAAUAUAACUAUUUUCUUAAAAAAAUUACCUUUAAAUUUACUUUUUCAUUAGUUCCAUAAGCAUUCGUCUUCCUUGUGCGAUUUUUGCUUUUAUUUCUUAUCCAGGAUGCUUAUUUUUCAAGUAAUUAGGUAGAUGUGCAAUACUAUUGUCUGCCGAUUCUACACAACUCGUUUCUAGGUAUAAACUAAAGAAAUGCGCUUGCAAAGUAUGACAAGUUGGGAGCAUAUGCGAAUUGGAAAUGAUGGGUUUGUUUGUAUCGGCCAAAAUACCACCUAACAGACAACAUCAGUCCACUACUGAAUAUACUAUAAUAGUCUGUCAAGCUGAUGUGAAUACAACUCAUUAUAGUUUGUUAGCAAUAACUGUGUCUUUUCCCUUGUGUUUAUUUAGCAAAGCAAAUAAUAAUAAUAAAAAAAAAAACCACAUGAAAUUGCACAUCAACUCACUGACAACCUCCCUCAGCGUUUGCCCUCGAUCUGCAAUUAUCCCGCUAACCAUAAUUAUGAUAAUCAUGCAUACAAAACGGUAUUUAAGAAUGCAUGAAGUGGUUCUCUCCAUCAGUAAUAAAAUAAUUAAAUUAUCACUAGAAGUGCUAUCUGAAACCGUAAAUGAAUUUUCGUUUUUGAUGUAUUUUUUUAGACAUCCGAAAUUGUGGAAAAAAUUUGUUUGUUGUUGUUUUUUUUUAUUUGUUUGUUUGGUUGGUUGGAUUUUUUUUGUUUUUUGUUUUGUUUUUUUUUUGUUUUUUGUUUUUUUGUUUGCAGACUCGCAUGGAUGGUACAGUUUUGGAGCU